rnacentral:rRNA from 1 species
CGCGGCCUAUCAGCUUGUUGGUGAGGUAGUGGCUCACCAAGGCUUCGACGGGUAGCCGGCCUGAGAGGGCGACCGGCCACAUUGGGACUGAGAUACGGCCCAAACUCCUACGGGAGGCAGCAGUGGGGAAUAUUGCACAAUGGACGGAAGUCUGAUGCAGCAACGCCGCGUGCGGGAUGACGGCCUUCGGGUUGUAAACCGCUUUCAAUUGUGACGAAGCUUUUUUGUGACGGUAGCAGUAGAAGAAGCACCGGCUAACUACGUGCCAGCAGCCGCGGUGAUACGUAGGGUGCGAGCGUUGUCCGGAUUUAUUGGGCGUAAAGAGCUUGUAGGCGGUUUGUCGCGUCGGGAGUGAAAACUUGGGGCUUAACCCUGAGCUUGCUUUCGAUACGGGCUGACUUGAGGGAGGUAGGGGAGAAUGGAAUUCCUGGUGGAGCGGUGGAAUGCGCAGAUAUCAGGAGGAACACCGGUGGCGAAGGCGGUUCUCUGGACCUUUCCUGACGCUGAGAAGCGAAAGCGUGGGGAGCGAACAGGCUUAGAUACCCUGGUAGUCCACGCCGUAAACGGUGGGUACUAGGUGUGGGGGACAUUCCACGUUCUCCGUGCCGUAGCUAACGCAUUAAGUACCCCGCCUGGGGAGUACGG